CCUACGGGAGGCAGCAGUAGGGAAUCUUUCACAAUGGGCGAAAGCCUGAUGGAGCAACGCCGCGUGCAGGAUGAAGGCCUUCGGGUUGUAAACUGCUUUUAUAAGCGAGAAAUAUGAUGGUAACUUAUGAAUAAGGAUCGGCUAACUACGUGCCAGCAGCCGCGGUCAUACGUAGGAUCCGAGCAUUAUCCGGAGUGACUGGGUGUAAAGAGUUGCGUAGGUGGCAUAAUAAGUAGCUAGUGAAAUCUGGUGGCUCAACCAUUCAGACUAUUAGCUAAACUGUUAAGCUCGAGACCGUUAGGGGUAACUGGAAUUUCUAGUGUAGGAGUGAAAUCCGUAGAUAUUAGAAGGAACACCAAUAGCGUAGGCAGGUUGCUGGGACGGUUCUGACACUAAGGCACGAAAGCAUAGGGAGCAAACGGGAUUAGAUACCCCUGUAGUC
rnacentral:rRNA from 1 species